rnacentral:rRNA from 1 species
GAUGAACGCUAGCGGCAGGCUUAAUACAUGCAAGUCGAGGGGCAGCACGGUUAGCAAUAACUGGUGGCGACCGGCGCACGGGUGCGUAACACGUAUACAAUCUACCUUAAACAGGGGGAUAGCCUUUCGAAAGAGAGAUUAAUACCCCGUAAUAAAUUGAACGGCAUCGUUUGAUUUUGAAAGCUCCGGCGGUUUGAGAUGAGUAUGCGUCUGAUUAGCUAGUUGGUGAGGUAACGGCUCACCAAGGCGACGAUCAGUAGGGGAGUCUGAGAGGACUAA